rnacentral:lncRNA from 1 species
CUAGAUUUCUAGUAACUGUUUUUGGGGUGUCUGGUGGGUUGUAUCUUUUAGGCCUUAAACACAGAUAGUUUGAAAAUAUCAACUCACCUGAACUUAAUGGAACAAGAGUUGUCUGAAAAGAAUGUGCAGCUCCAGACCAGUACAGCUGAGGAGAAAACAAAGAUUUCAGAACAAGUUGAAGUCCUCCAGAAAGAAAAGGAUCAGCUCCAGAAACGAAGACACAGUGUGGAUGAAAAACUUAAAAAUGGUAGAGUGUUAUCACCUGAAGAAGAACAUGUUCUUUUCCAACUUGAAGAAGGGAUUGAAGCUUUGGAAGCUGCAAUUGAAUACAAGAAUGAAAGUAUCCAGAAUCGCCAGAAGUCACUUAGAGCAUCAUUCCAUAACCUCUCUCGUGGUGAAGCAAAUGUCUUGGAAAAGCUAGCUUGCCUGAGUCCUGUUGAGAUUAGAACUAUUCUUUUCAGAUAUUUCAAUAAGGUGGUGAAUUUGCGAGAAGCUGAACGGAAACAGCAGUUAUAUAAUGAAGAAAUAAAAAUGAAAGUUCUGGAACGGGAUAAUAUGGUUCGUGAAUUAGAAUCUGCACUGGACCAUCUAAAAUUGCAGUGUGACCGGAGACUGACCCUCCAGCAAAAGGAACACGAACAAAAGAUGCAGUUGCUGUUACAUCAUUUCAAAGAACAAGAUGCAGAAGGCAUUAUGGAAACUUUCAAAACAUAUGAAGAUAAAAUCCAGCAGUUGGAAAAAGAUCUUUAUUUCUAUAAGAAAACCAGCCGGGAUCAUAAGAAGAAACUUAAGGAACUGGUAGGGGAAGCAAUUCGGCAGCAACUAGCACCAUCAGAGUAUCAAGAGGCUGGAGAUGGAGUCCUGAAGCCAGAAGGAGGAGGCAUGCUUUCAGAAGAAUUAAAAUGGGCAUCCAGACCUGAAAGUAUGAAAUUAAGUGGAAGAGAAAGAGAAAUGGACAGUUCAGCAAGCAGCUUAAGAACACAGCCAAAUCCUCAAAAGCUCUGGGAAGAUAGCCCAGAAUUACCUCCAAUUCAUAGUUCUUUAGCACCCCCCAGUGGGCAUAUGUUAGGUAAUGAGAAUAAAACAGAAAUAGAUGAUAAUCAGUUUACAAAAUCUCACAGUCGACUGUCAUCCCAAAUUCAGGUUGUGGGAAAUGUGGGACAACUUCAUGGUGUCACACCUGUAAAACUGUGUCGAAAAGAAUUACGUCAAAUUUCAGCCUUGGAACUAUCAUUGCGACGUUCCAGUCUUGGAGUUGGCAUUGGAUCAAUGGCUGCUGAUUCCAUCGAAGUAUCUAGGAAACCAAGGGACUUAAAAACUUAGACAUUGAAUAAUAGAACUUUUAGUAGAUAUGUAAAAAGAUUCCUUUUUCUAAC